UGCUCCCGGCUUGCCUUGCUGUCCCCGCUGGAAUCAGCAGACCCUGACUUUUGGAGAAGCGUUACUGCGAUGUGUCAGCUGCUCCGGCAGAGCCAAGAGUGAUGUAUUCCAAGACCUGUCAGGAGAAAGGGUUUACGGAGUGACCAUCCUGUGGCUACAACUCUCAAGACUGUUGUUUUAGCAAAACCCAAAUGGAACUGAUCCAGGUGUUUGGAUUGAGUUGGUCCUGGUCCCUGCUCCCCUCCCCCAAAUCUCUGAAACCACAGAUUUUUGUCCAAAGGGUGAUGUGGGGGUGUAGCACUCUGCCCACCUGGAAACAACCCCAAGGAUCUGGCCUGAGGGAGCCGGCCCUGGGCUGGGGAGCCCCAGGCCAAGGGCUGGGGGUGGGGGUGCUCCUGAGGGGGGUUGGGGGGAAAGGGUAGAAUUCCUGAGACAAGAACCCUCUAUGGAGACAGCCCGCUGGGCUUCCAGCCCUCCAUCUGGGUUCCACUAAAAACACAUUUUGCGUGUUUCUGUUGUUCUUAAGUCUGGGUUUAUUUCAAGGGGAAAAUUAUAAAGAAACAUCUCUGCCUUUAUUUC